UUGAACGCUGGCGGCAGGCCUAACACAUGCAAGUCGAACGGUAACAGGAAGAAGCUUGCUUCUUUGCUGACGAGUGGCGGACGGGUGAGUAAUGUCUGGGAAACUGCCUGAUGGAGGGGGAUAACUACUGGAAACGGUAGCUAAUACCGCAUAACGUCGCAAGACCAAAGAGGGGGACCUUCGGGCCUCUUGCCAUCGGAUGUGCCCAGAUGGGAUUAGCUAGUAGGUGGGGUAACGGCUCACCUAGGCGACGAUCCCUAGCUGGUCUGAGAGGAUGACCAGCCACACUGGAACUGAGACACGGUCCAGACUCCUACGGGAGGCAGCAGUGGGGAAUAUUGCACAAUGGGCGCAAGCCUGAUGCAGCCAUGCCGCGUGUAUGAAGAAGGCCUUCGGGUUGUAAAGUACUUUCAGCGGGGAGGAAGGGAGUAAAGUUAAUACCUUUGCUCAUUGACGUUACCCGCAGAAGAAGCACCGGCUAACUCCGUGCCAGCAGCCGCGGUAAUACGGAGGGUGCAAGCGUUAAUCGGAAUUACUGGGCGUAAAGCGCACGCAGGCGGUUUGUUAAGUCAGAUGUGAAAUCCCCGGGCUCAACCUGGGAACUGCAUCUGAUACUGGCAAGCUUGAGUCUCGUAGAGGGGGGUAGAAUUCCAGGUGUAGCGGUGAAAUGCGUAGAGAUCUGGAGGAAUACCGGUGGCGAAGGCGGCCCCCUGGACGAAGACUGACGCUCAGGUGCGAAAGCGUGGGGAGCAAACAGGAUUAGAUACCCUGGUAGUCCACGCCGUAAACGAUGUCGACUUGGAGGUUGUGCCCUUGAGGCGUGGCUUCCGGAGCUAACGCGUUAAGUCGACCGCCUGGGGAGUACGGCCGCAAGGUUAAAACUCAAAUGAAUUGACGGGGGCCCGCACAAGCGGUGGAGCAUGUGGUUUAAUUCGAUGCAACGCGAAGAACCUUACCUGGUCUUGACAUCCACGGAAGUUUUCAGAGAUGAGAAUGUGCCUUCGGGAACCGUGAGACAGGUGCUGCAUGGCUGUCGUCAGCUCGUGUUGUGAAAUGUUGGGUUAAGUCCCGCAACGAGCGCAACCCUUAUCCUUUGUUGCCAGCGGUCCGGCCGGGAACUCAAAGGAGACUGCCAGUGAUAAACUGGAGGAAGGUGAGGAUGACGUCAAGUCAUCAUGGCCCUUACGACCAGGGCUACACACGUGCUACAAUGGCAUAUACAAAGAGAAGCGACCUCGCGAGAGCAAGCGGACCUCAUAAAGUGCGUCGUAGUCCGGAUUGGAGUCUGCAACUCGACUCCAUGAAGUCGGAAUCGCUAGUAAUCGUGGAUCAGAAUGCCACGGUGAAUACGUUCCCGGGCCUUGUACACACCGCCCGUCACACCAUGGGAGUGGGUUGCAAAAGAAGUAGGUAGCUUAACCUUCGGGAGGGCGCUUACCACUUUGUGAUUCAUGACUGGGGUG
rnacentral:rRNA from 1 species